GGUAAAUGUAAAUAUAUUGAUCAAAACUGUACCAUGUACAAGUACACCGGGCAUACCCGGGUAAUCAAAAGACCUCAAUCAUAAACAAGUACACCGGACAUACCCGGGCAAACGAAAGAGACAAAUAAAAAUGAAAUAUUCCGGGCAUACCCAGGAGAUACAAUCAAGUGAAGUACAUAAAAACUCAAUGUCCCAAUGCUAAAGACUCGAAAUGGAUCAAGACAUCC
rnacentral:lncRNA from 1 species